rnacentral:lncRNA from 1 species
UUAAAGUCUGAUGCUUGCGAUAGUAAUGAUAAUGUUAAUGAAACUGUUGAUAGGGUAAUUGGGAUUGAAGAGGAAGAAAGAGUUGACGAGGAAGGGAUUUUGGAGGAGGUAGGCUCUCCAUUUGACAUAUUGGUCAACCUGUGAACAAAUGAAGAUAAGCUCGAGUGUGACUAUGAUGGUUGAGAAUUUGGGGUUUAAUGAGAGGUUACAGAGAUAUCAUUAUUGAGCUUUAAUGGUGAUGUCGGUGUUGGGUGGGUAGUGGUGGUUGUGGCAGUUGGGUAGAGUGGGUAAUGGUGGUUGUCGAGGGUUGCAGAGAUACCAUUAUUGACCUUUAAAAUUUUUUAUUUAAUAGGAAAAUUGUGUUUUAUCAAAAAUGCCCGUCUUAUUUGGGGAAAAUAUUAAAGUUUUAUAUUUUGGGAGUCAAUUGACGGUUUUGGUAGUCAAACUAACGGAAACUAUCAGUCUGGACUUAACCUGCAAAUUUUUUAAAGGUUUGGUACUCAC